rnacentral:lncRNA from 1 species
AAUGAGACAACUCUCCAUCCAAAUAACAAUUUAUAAAAGUAAACCAAUAUAGGUCAAUGUACGGCUUUCAACACGGAGCCUUGGUUCACACAGAACAACAAGCUAUAAAGGGCCCCAAAAUUACUAAUGUAAAACCAUUCAAACGGAAAAACCAACGGUCUAAUCUAUAUAAAAAACGAGAAACGAGAAACACGUAUAAAUUACAUAAACAAACGACAACUACUGUACAUCAGAUUCCUGACUUAGGACAGGUGCAAACAUUUGCAGAGGGAUUAAACGUUUUAAUGGUACCAAACCUUCUCCCUUUU